UCUCGACUAGUAUAUCGGUUGAGUACACGCGCCUGUCAUGUAAACGGGCGCUUUAGUGACGUUCGCGCGAAAGCUGGGUUCGACUCCCAGGUCGAGAG